rnacentral:rRNA from 1 species
GACGAACGCUGGCGGCGUGCUUAACACAUGCAAGUCGAACGGAAUGGCCCUGCUUGCAGGGUACUCGAGUGGCGAACGGGUGAGUAACACGUGGGUGAUCUGCCCUGCACUUCGGGAUAAGCCUGGGAAACUGGGUCUAAUACCGGAUAGGAGCCAUCUUUAGUGUGAUGGUUGGAAAGUUUUUUCGGUGUAGGAUGAGCUCGCGGCCUAUCAGCUUGUUGGUGGGGUAAUGGCCUACCAAGGCGGCGACGGGUAGCCGGCCUGAGAGGGUGGACGGCCACAUUGGGACUGAGAUACGGCCCAGACUCCUACGGGAGGCAGCAGUGGGGAAUAUUGCACAAUGGGCGCAAGCCUGAUGCAGCGACGCCGCGUGGGGGAUGACGGCCUUCGGGUUGUAAACUCCUUUCGCUAGGGACGAAGCUUUUGUGACGGUACCUAGAUAAGAAGCACCGGCUAACUACGUG